GUCGCACCUACCGAUUGAAAGGUCCGGUGAAGCCUUGGGAUUGUGGUUAGUUUGCUUCACUGCGAGUUGAUUACAAGAACUUGUCUAAACCUUAUCAUUUAGAGGAAAGUG
rnacentral:rRNA from 1 species